GUGGCUAUAGUAUAGCGGUUAUUACAUCGGCUUGUGGUGCCGAUUAUCUGGGUUCGAUUCCCAGUAGCCACC
rnacentral:tRNA from 1 species